UACGUAGGGUGCGAGCGUUAAUCGGAAUACUGGGCGUAAGGCGUGCGCAGGCGGUUGCUGAAGUCCGUUGUGAAAGCCCCGGGCUUAACCUGGGAAUGGCAGUGGAAACUAGGCGACUUGAAUCUGGCAGAGGGGGUGGAAUGCCACGUGUAGCAGUGAAAUGCGUAGAGAUGUGGCGGAACACCGAUGGCGAAGGCAGCCCCUGGGUCGAGAUUGACGCUCAGGCACGAAAGCGUGGGGAGCAAACAGG
rnacentral:rRNA from 1 species